rnacentral:misc_RNA from 1 species
AGUCAGCUGAUGUGUGUGUGCGCGCGCGCGCAACUGCUACGGAAUGUGCACGCGGGCUCGUCUCCCCUUCACAUAAAACUAUCUCUUAUCAAAAUACUAUUUCUCGGUUACCGAAACCUCCUCGCAAUCGCAUGACCGGUCGUAAUGGUGUUACCAAACUAUUACUCCGAGAUCCGGAUAUGAGAAUUAACGUACGGACGAUGGCCACUCCGAUACAGGAGGAAGUGGACAAUAAUCUGAAGGUUCGCACAGGAAUGGUGAAGGUUAGCGAUGGUAAGACAAGGCCGACUCCUAUGCGAAUGCACCUGUCCAUGGAACUACUGAAACUUCAAAAAGAGGAAGUGAUGCCAAACAACCACAACCACAAGCACACACCGUCUGACUCCAAACAGGUACGAAUUGUCAGCGUCACAAGGCAGAAGAUCGGGGGUCUCGGCCUCAGCAUCAAAGGAGGUGCAGAACACAAGUUGCCAAUUCUUAUAUCAAGAAUAUUCAAGGACCAGGCAGCAGAUCAAACGGGGCAACUUUUUGUUGGAGAUGCCAUUAUCAAAGUUAAUGGAGAGCUGAUCACCAACUGUCAACACGAUGAGGCUGUGAACAUUCUGCGCAAUGCAGGUGACAUGGUAAUGCUCACUGUUAAGCAUUAUCGGGCAGCAACACCAUUCCUACAAAAGUCAAAAAAAGACGAACAGCAGUUGGAUAAUGAUGGUGCGGGUAGUGAAAUAGAUGACAGAAGUUGGGGCUGUAGAAAUGGCUCAAAUAGAACGUCGACCAUUAUUGAUGACAAAGAAACGUCACAGCAAACUAGAUGGAUAGAUAUUAUAACAGUUCCUCUAAUGAUGGCAUACGUAACGCGCUACAUUUUCGGAACAGACAAGCUGAGGCCAAAUGCCUUCGAAGUGAGAGGCCUGAAUGGAGCUAGCACAGGAGUGGUGCAUUGUGAUGAUGCUGCUAUCCUAUCACAAUGGCUGAAAUUCAUAAGUGAUAAUAUACUUGGACUGACACAUUUACAAAUGAAACUAUAUAAUCGUAAUUUCCCAGCUGCCGAGAGGAUAGAAUACAUGGGAUGGGUGAAUGAAGGAAUUUUAAAUAACAAUAAUAAUCAUCCAUGGCAAAGUUACCAGCCCAGGUUUCUCACACUAAAAGGAACUGAUGUUUUGUUAUUUGAUUCACCACCAUUGAACAUUGGAGACUGGCUCGAAUGUAGUGUGGUGUUCAAAGUGUACCAGUCGAUGUUGAGGGUGAUAAAAGAUUCAGAAAAUGUUGACGAGAGACAGCAUUGUUUCCUGAUUCAGACAUCAGGACAGGAGUCGCGGUACUUCUCAGUAGAGACACGACAAGAACUGCUCAGGAUAGAAAGUGCGUGGCAUUGUUCGGUGUGUGCAGCAGUCAUCAAACUAGGGCGGGUGGAGCAGGCAAGACCGCCGGUCUAACGCUCGACUGGAAUCUGGGAUUCGCGCUUUAUGACACGCAAGCGCGCACCUACUCCUGGCAAUACAAGUUCUCCCAGCUGAGGGGCUCCUCAGACGACGGCAAGAGUCGACUCAAGCUGCAUUUCCAAGAUUCAGAGACAAAAGCAAUCGAAACAAAAGAACUGGAAUGUCCUUCUCUACAAGGUCUUCUUUUUUGCAUGCACGCAUUUCUAACAGCAAAAGUCGCAUCAGUUGAUCCAGCCUUCCUCUCAUCUAGAACGCCUUAGUAAUUCAAUUAGUUCCUCCUUGUCAUUGGCUCAGUGCUUGAAUCGGCUACUGGUAAUACCACAAUGCCUGCCACAUGACAUUUUACCUAAUGUACAUUGUGUAAGAAUGACUAUUAGUUAUAGUUUUCUUGAAAUAGGAUCUUGUACAGUGUGUUAAAUUUAUUUAUAGAUUUAUUCAAAGCGUUUAGACUCUUAUUGAUAUAUUAUAUAUAUAUAUUUGUACAAUUCAAAACUCGUGUUAAAUAUUAUCAUAAAUGUUGAAAAUUUGUUAUACCGCUACAAACUAUAUUGAUCAUUACCAAUAUUGAAAUACUCAAGCUUCAAUAUGGAUCCAUCUAUUAGCAACAGAGAAACAUAACAUUAGUUUAAAACGUUACCUUCUAUUUUCUAAUAAAACGCCUGCAAAAUGUAUUUCUCAAGCAAUUCUCGUAACAAACUGUCAAUUCAAAUAUUAUAAAUAUCAUGUAAGAAAUAGAUAUUAUUUUUUAUUCGUCAAUGUAAAACUAUAGAGAUAAAUGAUAAACCUUUAAAUAAUCAUAAUAAAGCGUAUUCACAAUAUUGGUUUCUAAAACUCUAUCGACAAAAAUAUUCUGAUUAAGAAAGGAUGCAUUAUUUCUUGGAAAUGGAAAAAAUCAAAAAUCAUAGUGAGAUUCUAUUAGGGUAUUAAAAUCUAGAGUAAAUUGACCUAUCUAUUGUGAAUUGAGUGAAUGGAAAGAUUUUGAAUGUGAUUUGCAAGAUAACUUAAUGCAAUAACAAAUUUAAAAAUACUCCGUAGCCAAGUUCUCCCCAAGAUGAAUAAACAACACAGUAUUUCAAGACGCCAAAUAAUAAUAGUUACCAAAUGCUGUCGUGUAGACUUAUUUCAUUAAAUAUUAUGAGAAAAACAUUUUAGGAUUAUUCAAAUAGCAUGAUACAGAGCUCGAUCAAGCAGCUACUAUACAAUGGAAACUAUUUUAAUAAGUCAAUAUUACAGCAAUAUAUAGGCUACUCUAGUUAUGCUUAUUAUGCAAGGUAAUGAGAUUUUAUUUUCCCAAUCAUCAAUACAUUGCAUUCCAUCCACUGAAUGCGUUUAAAGAUAAUAAAUACGAUUAUCAUAUAAAACUUAUUUUUAUGCUUACGUCCCAUGAAAAAGAUUACAGAAUCUUGUACACACACUCCCUCCAAACGUACAUUUUUAUUAAUUUCAAGUUUUGACUAAUCGCAAAUUAUUUUUCAGAAUUGAAUAACUAAAUGUUCAUGUACCGCAAUGAAAAUAUAGUGCAUGCCGUAAAAACAUAAGACAACAGCAAUGGCAUGUUUAAACGCUCAUAAUGCUUAUUUUCAAGCUUAUUCCACUCUUAUAAUAGUUCAAUUCAUUAGCAUGAGAAAAUGUUCAAGUGACACUAUGCUUCAGCUUCUCAACAGUACACAUACUUUCACCAGGCAUCUAUUUCCUUCUAUAAUGAAACAUUUUCAAUAAUGAUUGUAAUUUAUUACGACUCUACAAUUAUUCUUGCUGCUUGAAAACAGUGCAUAAACAAGAAGUAGGCCUAUUCUAGAUGUAUAAUAAUAUAACACAAUUAUCACAGCAAGAAACUGAGUUAGGUGAGAACAGAUGGACGAUUAUUAUUACUUCAUGACUGAAAGAGAACAUAGUAUCUCAGCUACAUUGUUCUAUUUCAAUUAUUUCAAGGAUUAAGAGCUAUCAGACUAAUACAAUAGUUUAAAUAAGAAAUUAAAAAUUCUAAUGUUCAUUCGUAUUUGACCAAAUAAACUUCAGGGAAUUGAGAAAAUUCACUUGAUUUUUUUAAGAUUUUCAUAGUUUAGUCACCAAAGAUUAAUUCUAUCAAUAAGGUUAAUACUUCAUGCGACCAAGUAUGUCCUUGGAAUCAGAAUGGUGACUUCUUACAACUAAUUGGCUACAUGUUGUUGUUGAUGUAUUUGAUAUUUGAAUAAAAUACUAUUCAAAUUUAUGAAUAUUCUGAACGUGUCUUCAUUAUUUCAUGGUUGAAUUGUAGAUAUCAAAAAUAUGCAAAACUGAAAUAAUAUCCUGCCUUUUCCAUGAAUGCUUCCUGUAUUUGUCGAAUUCUGAGAAUUGUCACAUAAUAGAAUAAUAAAUUGGGUAUAAUUAUUCUUAGGUGAUUUCAAGUUUGAACUAUUUUAUUGGUCUGCAAUGAAGACUAUGACAAACUAAAUGCAACAAGACACGACAACCUUUAAAGGUUUCUCACAUAUUGAAAAGUAUAAAAAGACUGGACCAGAAAUACUAAAGUGAAAAAAUCGUGUAACAGAUUAUAAUGAAGUGUUUUUCUAGCACAAAAUUAUUUCCUUCAUUUGAGAAAAAUGUAUAGCAUGGAAAGAAUCCAACACCUUCACUUUAAAAGUAUUGAUACUUGAUUUGUUACGUGACUUCUAGAAUGGAUUUAUGGAAAAUGAAUUACAACUAUAGAUAUUUAUCUACCAUAUUAAUCAAAAAAUGUAUGAAAUAUCUGUGAAAGAUUGUUUGUUCUCUGUAAGAAAUUGGCAAAUCAAUUUCAUGAUAAUAUUGUCAAAUAUUUUUAUUGUUAUACAGAAUAAGCAUAUACCAAAGAUUGGAUUGUAGUACCUGAGACAUCUAUAAGCCUAUAUAUCUUUAUUAGGAUUUACUAAUAAAAAGUUUGUGAAUAAAAUUAAAAUACGUA